rnacentral:lncRNA from 1 species
UCCUUUACCCAACCCAGCCUCUGAGGAUGGCUCUGAGUCAGAGGGGAGCGAGUCCAGCAGCCGUUCUUGUCGCAACGAGCGCAGCCUUCAGGAGAAGCUGCAGGCCCUGAUGGCUGAGGGCCUCCUUCCUGCUGUGAAGGUCUUCCUGGACUGGCUUCGAACCAACCCUGACCUCAUCAUUGUGUGUGCGCAGGUGUUUAUCCCAUCUUCUAAUCUUCAGGUCUUAAAAGGUUGGAACAGCGAUGAGAUAGAAAGGGGCCUCUGCAGCUGCGUGGUGACCUGCCAAGACCUGAUUGGCCCGGCAGCAGUAGGCAUGAUCUUUCCCUCAAAGAGUCUACUGCCAAGGGACAGAGAGGGAAUUGCUCCCUCUACUCUGUUCUCUCAAAGCCGACCUCAUAACUGGCAUUCUGGGUGAUACUGGGGACCA